rnacentral:rRNA from 1 species
CACGUAGGGCGCAAGCGUUGUCCGGAAUUAUUGGGCGUAAAGAGCUCGUAGGCGGUCUGUUGCGUCCGCUGUGAAAUCUCGGGGCUUAACCCCGAGCCUGCAGUGGAUACGGGCAGACUAGAGGUAGGUAGGGGAGAAUGGAAUUUCCGGUGGAGCGGUGAAAUGCGUAGAGAUCGGAAAGAACACCAACGGCGAAAGCACUCUGCUGGGCCGACACUGACACUGAGAGACGAAAGCUAGGGGAGCGAAUGGG